GGAGGGGUGGCCGAGCGGUUGAAGGCGGCGGUCUUGAAAACCGUUGUGGCGUAUCCCGUCACCGGGGGUUCGAAUCCCUCCCCCUCCGCCA
rnacentral:tRNA from 1 species